rnacentral:rRNA from 1 species
UACGUAGGGGGCUAGCGUUGUCCGGAAUCAUUGGGCGUAAAGCGCGUGUAGGCGGUCCGGUAAGUCCGCUGUGAAAGUCGGGGGCUCAACCCUCGAAUGCCGGUGGAUACUGCCGGGCUAGAGUGCGGAAGAGGCGAGUGGAAUUCCUGGUGUAGCGGUGAAAUGCGCAGAUAUCAGGAGGAACACCAAUUGCGAAGGCAGCUCGCUGGGACGUUACUGACGCUGAGACGCGAAAGCGUGGGGAGCAAACAGG